GCUGAAACAGCCGUGCAGAGGAAGAUGGUUUAGGUCUUGUAUGUCGCUAAAUUCAAAUGUCAUUUUUCAUAUCUGAAACAAAAACAGCCAUAUUAAUAACUUCAUUCCAGUUCUUUUGCAUUCGGUGUGAGGGAACAAGUUCUUGUAAAAAAUUAACCUAUGUGAGAAUAAAUAUCUUGUUAUGAAUGACAGAGUUUAUUACUACUUUAUGGAUGACUGUGGCAUUGGUGUUUCCUUAUUUCUGCACACUUGGUAAUACUUGGCUGGCACCUUUUGGAAUAAACACUGAUUUUACAGAGGUUUAUUUGCACUUUUACAUAAGCAUGUGGAGGGUUUUUUUGCUCUUUCCAGCUGAAAACAGGGUUUGUUUGUGAAGUCUCUAAUGAGGGACCCCAAAAUUCAUCCUAGACUUUAUUAAAGCCAGUAAAAGCUCACACACGCUUUCCUCUGUGAACGCUGUCUGGGUGCUUUGGGGUUUGGGGUUUUUUUACAACUCUUUUCUUUUACACAGACAAUUCCCAUUAAACUCUUUAAUACUUCACCUUUGCUAAAUGAAACCCAAAUCUUUUUAAAUAUAUCAAAUUUGUGACUGGCAAGAGAGCGGCUGUGGAUAGGAAGAGGGUUAAAUGAGCAGUGAAUCUGAUGAGGAAGAAGGGUAGAAAUCCACUGGGCCUCAGGCCAAGGAAGCAGUGCUAUUUUUGUGUUGAAAAGCUAUUAAUAGGAGGUGUGCACCUUCUGGAGAGCUUGUGUUAACCUUUCUUUGCAAAAGCAACUCCUUGGAGUAACUUCUUAGAGUCUACUUCUCUCCUAAGUGAGUACUGAUACCAAUUUUAUUGGGUUUUUAAAUGGCAAGUGCAUUCCAAGAAUUCAGUGCUGUGAUUAUUGAUAUAUUUUACAGGAAACUUAACACUGGAAGUAAUUCGUUUUUCAACUUCUAUAAAUCAAGUUGUAAAAUCUUUUUCCAACGAGUAAAGUUUUGUGAUUCUUUUCGUGUUGUGUAAUGAAUAGAGAAUUAUAUUUAUAAAAAGAAUAAAUGGUUU
rnacentral:lncRNA from 1 species